rnacentral:rRNA from 1 species
GAUGAACGCUGGCGGCGUGCCUAAUACAUGCAAGUCGAGCGAACAGACGAGGAGCUUGCUCCUCUGACGUUAGCGGCGGACGGGUGAGUAACACGUGGAUAACCUACCUAUAAGACUGGGAUAACUUCGGGAAACCGGAGCUAAUACCGGAUAAUAUAUUGAACCGCAUGGUUCAAUAGUGAAAGACGGUUUUGCUGUCACUUAUAGAUGUAUCCGCGCCGCAUUAGCUAGUUGGUAAGGUAACGGCUUACCAAGGCAACGAUGCGUAGCCGACCUGAGUGGGUGAUCGGCCACACUGGACCUGAGACACGGUCCAGACUCCUACGGGAGGCAGCAGUAGGGAAUCUUCCGCAAUGGGCGAAAGCCUGACGGAGCAACGCCGCGUGAGUGAUGAAGGUCUUCGGAUCGUAAAGCUCUGUUAUUAGGGAAGAACAAAUGUGUAAGUAACUAUGCACUUCUUGACAGUACCUAAUCAGAAAGCCACGGCUAACUACGUG